rnacentral:tRNA from 1 species
AGUGGAAUGUCUGAUUUUAGGUGAUAGAUUGUAAAUCUAUUUAUGGGGUUUUCCCUUCUACUA